AAUGCUUCAUGAAAAGGACUCCUGUGUCAAGUGGAAGGAGGUCACCAGAGAAAUAUGAGUAGAAACGCUGGACUUUGUAGACAGAGAGCCAGGAAAGCAAAAAAUAAACUGAGAUUAGUGAAGGCUACUCAGGACAAUACAAAGAAUGUCUUCAGAAACUCAGAAGGAAAAGGAAACCAUAAACCAGCUGCUUAGUGAAGGAGGAGAGAGGGGAUCAAAGCAGAAAAAAGUCAGAGUGGCUUAACUCGGGUGAUGGAGCAGAUCCCAAGAGACUCCUUCCAGGUCUUGGCUCCUAUGAGGUCCAAACUCCAGGUCAUUAAUGUUACAGAACAACCCACAAAGGACCCCAAAGAAGACACUUUAGGCCAAAGACCUCUGGCUCUUUGGGAACACUCUCCCUUUCCAAGUAGCCAAACCUUUGUCUUGUUGGAGUGCUUUCAGACAGAAGACUCUUCCCACUGCUGCCAAUUAAGGAUGUGGCAUAAUUGUUCGCUUUUCCCCUCCUUAAUGCAUUUUCUGUGGGAAGCAAAACUGUGGCCGACGCAAGAGAAAAACUGUGGCAGGCUAAGUGCCUUCCCCUCAAAGGGCUGGGGAAACAGAGGACCCCCCACAAGGAUGGAGAAGAGCCACCUCCAGGGGCCUCUGCAAAGCCUCCCGAUAUGCUGACGCAGAACUGCAGCCUCGGGCCACGGCGUGGAAGUCAGGUCUGCCCUUUGGGGCCAAAGGAUUGUACAGGCGGCACCAAUUAGCAACGCAGCCUUUUUCCUAACACUCAAGAACGCCUAUGCGAUAAGUAUUUUGAUAAGCUCAGCAAUAAAUAAACCAUCAGGUUCUGACAGCCACAUCUUAGGAGGAUCCCUGACCCACUGAGGAAGGCUUGGGAACAUCUGCAGCCGUUUCUCCACUUGGGAGCUUUCAGACGGGUGGACCUCGACUCCCAGAAUUUCCCAACCAGCACGGGCAAGUUGACGCAUCUUCAAGCCAUCAAGGUGGUCGAAGGAGAGCAGCCGAUGUAGGGCUUGGAAGAAAAGGUGGCAGUCUGGGAAGGUGGAGCCUGGAGGAGGGAAGACUACAUGAUGGGGAUCUUUAUUUAUUCAUUCAUUAAAUGCUGCCCAUCUCACUGUCAAGCCACUCUGGGCUGGGAAGAAUGGAGAAGGAGCAGGAGGCUUCCCUUACAUGGAAGUGGAUUUAGGAAGGGAGCAGGGUCUCCUUCGUGCGGGGAGGAGGGUCAUCCAUCGGGUGACUCUGCUGGAAUGGAAUGGAUUCCCGUGAAUGAGAUGGGUGGUCUCUAAAUUUGAUACAUACAUAAAUAAAAAUAAAUAAAUGUCUUCUGGCUCUGGACCAGGGGUGGAGCAGAGGGUCUCCAAAGUCGGCUGCAAUGUCACCUUCUUUCAUUCUUUGAUUCUGUAGCAAAUAAUGACCCGGCUAGUUACGUAUCGGUGGACUUCUAACUGCAUUAAAUCUAUAAGCAAAAAAACCUGGUGGACUUUGACAUGCAAAUAUGGACCUCAUCAAAACUUCAGUGGGACCAGCAGGAUUUUGAAUGAUCCUUUUGCUUUCAGUGCUGCAUCUCUCAGCAAUGGAUCCAGAUCCACAAAGGGAAACCAAUUUACACCGAGUGGUCUUGGCCUCAGGCACGGACUCAGUUGCCUCAGUUGUCCAGGGAAUAGUUGUCCAGGGUUCAUCUAUACAGCUAGUAAUGGGCCGCCUGACUCUUAUUGACUCUGGGAGACUCACAACCGUUAAAUAAAGAAAUAUUUAUUUAUUUAUUAAA